CACAGCCUGCAUAGAUGUGCAAGUGUGCGUGGGACUGGGUGCGUUGGAAUUAAAGCUGAUGAGAUCCACCGUGACCGCACCGUGUGGCGCUUCACGGCAGUCCUCUCGAGCCGGUUUCUGUGGCAGAGACGGCUGUAUAUCCCAUGACGGACUGACACAGUCCGAACCGCGCUCCCACGGACACGCCUGAUCUAAUCCGGAAUACCGAGAAGCCCGGAAAAACUCAUCGAGAUUCAAAGAGCUGUCCUGAAAUAUCUCGUCAAAGCUUAGGGAGACGAUACCAGGCUCUCCCCUAUGACGUCUCUCUGGAUUUUCAUGGCCGCCGUCGGCAGCGACAUCGUCGUCGUUGUCCAAAAGAAGAAACCCGAGAGAAUUCUGGUCAGAUUCCCAGUCGGAAUGACCUCGCGGGCUGGAGAGAACCUGCUCCAUUUAGGAGCGCCGUUCUUCUCUUGUGACGUCGAAACACUCCAGGAGGGAUAGUGAACCAGACCACGGGCUGAAUCCCAAAUCACUCCCUACUACCUACAUGAGUGCACUUCAUCAGGUGUGCACUUCAUCACUGGUGCCUACACCUUACACCUGAGCUGUUUGGGUGUGAACCCGCAUCUUACGUCUUUUAAAAGGGUAGAUCAGUUCAAAAAGGAAAAAGGGCAAGUGUACACACAUCCAGUGGAGACUCCUGGAAAAAACCAAAGAGGAUGUCUGAGGUUCAAGCUGGCACUGUUGGGCUCUUGAGCAAGGCACUUAACCCU
ensembl:lncRNA